rfam:Populus trichocarpa scaffold_10_contig_162, whole genome shotgun sequence.
UCUAAAACUCGAGAUGUGGAUUGAAAACUAAACAGUGUCUGGGCUACAAGACAGAUUCAGACUUCUCUUUUGAUGCUAAGAUUUGGACUCCAAAACGGCAGAAUUGAGUUUUGGACUCUCAUGAAUGUUUUAGGCCUAUGUCUUAGAUUUCUAGC